UAACAAUUUAAAUUAGAAAAAAAUAAAAAUCCCGGGCGUAGCCCGGAUUAAUCCCUAGUUUAGAGUAAAAAAUAGAAGAAUCCUAUUUUUCUAAAAGGAAAAAAAAAUAAAAAUCUCUAUUAUAGAUAAUUGAAUUAAACUUGUGUAAAUUCAAAUAUAAUAAUUUUGUUAAAUGAGAGUGAGAGAGAGGGGAAGCUAAAGUGGAAGUCUGGUGGUAAUAAUAGAGGAUUUGGUAUGACUGAGAGGACAAGUGGACACAAAGUCAGUCAAAAAAAGUGAAUAGACAUUAAUUUUUUUUUUCUUCUUUAGUUGCUGCUGAUUCGUUCGGUUUUGGACACAACAACAACAACGAAAAAGGUUUUAUUCUACAGUAACCAACCAAACACACAAACUGGUCCCUAUUUCAGACAUUGAAAGUGGGCCAUCAUUCUUUCUUUCACUAGUGGGCUUCAACAUCUGGUCCACACCACACAAUUUCAUUUUUACUUUUAUUUGUUUGGUCAGGGAGGUUAAUUAUUAUCUAUAUAUAUAUAUAAAAUUGUCUGCCUCUCUCCUGUGAUGCCACGUCGGAUCCAGGCUGGAAAGUCGAACGUCCACGGCUUGACACGUGUCUCAAACGCUGCAUUUCAUUAAGCGUUGACAAAUGUGGGCUUUCUCUCCUGAUUUUAUUGUUGGGCCAUGAGGUUAGUUGUUCUGUCGGGCCCGAUGGGGUUGUGUAGUUCCUCGAAAAAAAAAUGAAAGGUGUUCUCACCAACCCUAAUAUGAAACAAAGAUCCUCUUUCCCCUUCCUGCAGCAGUGAACUGAUGACGUUAAGGCUUCCUCAUAAUUUUCAUUUAUUAGCUCCAUCUCGAAUUGUAUUCAAAGCUUUCUUACUAUCUUAGAGGCGGUGCCAUGAUCUGUAUAAAUAGAGUUUUCAGCUGUCAUAUGAACUAGCUCGAGCAACAAUGGAGAUCAAAUCAAGCCAGCCGAAUCGUCCUCGAGAACCUUGGUAUCAAUCCAGCCGAAUCGUACUCGAGGUCCAAACUCUUUUUUUUUUCAGAAUUUUUUUCUCUGUAGCGUGUUGAGGCAAGGCUUUUGCGUUUCUGGGAAUCCCGAAAUGUUAAGAAAGAUGGUGAGCUCAUGGGCUUUGAUAUUCUUUUGGUUGAUGGCAAGGUUAGUCUUUUCGACUUAAUUGCUUAUUUCCACCUUAUUAUCUCUUAUGCCACCAUCCCUUCAUAGUCGUAGCUGAACUGGAAACUUUUUUUUUCGGAAUUGUUUUCUUUGGAGUUUUAUGCAAGUCUGAUUAUGAUAUAUUGUGACAAAAAAUUUAUAUUUAACUUUUCACAAAGAUUCCUAUUGAUUCCUCCUCCCUCUCUAGCUGAUUCAUUUUCUUAAAAGCUUUUAGUUCUGUUCUGAGCUUUUGUUUAUUUAAUCUAAUAGCUCAAAAGAAUUUUACGAUGGAGUUAGAUAGUUAAGAAAGAGGCUGAACGCAGUAUUUAUGUCAACAAUGGAGAUGAUUAAAAAACUGUUAGCGAUUCAUUAAUGGUGGGGAUUCAACGUUACACUUAUCAUCAUGAAAAUGGAUCUUCUAGGUAAAAUAAAUCUCAUAGUUGAAAAGAUGAUAUUUUGUUUGCUUAAUUCCUGGUUCUGUGUUUUAAAUGCGUGUAUGUCUUCUGAUAUUAUGUGGUUCUAUAUUUUUCAGAUAUUUUUCUGUGAGAGCAGUUCAAAACAUUAGAGCAGGUGUUAACACCUCGAGCCGGUUGUGUUAUUGUUUCGCUUGAGAGAAACUUAUUCUGUUAUAUAUAAGUUUAACUAAUCAAAUAUUUGAAAGA